UUUAGCGAUAACGAACGAAGACCUUAACCUGCUAAAUAGCCAGGCUAGCUUUGGCUGGUCGCCGGCUUCUUAGAGGGACUAUCGGCUCAAGCCGAUGGAAGUUUGAGGCAAUAACAGGUCUGUGAUGCCCUUAGAUGUUCUGGGCCGCACGCGCGCUACACUGACAGAGCCAACGAGUUCUUCACCUUGACCGAAAGGUCUGGGUAAUCUUGUUAAACUCUGUCGGUGCUGGGGAUAGGGCAUUGCAAUC
rnacentral:rRNA from 1 species